GAGCUACAUUGGCAUGGCGCAUGGCUGCCAUGGCAUCAAAGGUUAAUUGCUCUUCGUCCUUACCACUGAUCUUCCUUCUUUGCCCAAAAUUUUGCGUCUAGUCACUAAGGAAAAUUUCCUGCGCAGUUAUUUAACAUCAAGUUCGGUACCACCUUUAUCACUCUGCUCAUAUGUUCUUCGUGUGAAAGGCAAACAUGCUGCUUUCAUGAUGUGGUUCUGUUGAACGCACAGUAGGACUUGGUAUUAUUUGCCGCUACACAGUUAUUUAACAUCAAGCCUAGGGCCAUCUUGUGGGAGGGGUAUUUCAAAGUUAAUAACAUGAGGGUCAUAACCUUCCCAGGAGCCUUCCCCACUCUCUCUAUAUCUCUUUCUCAGUUCCUUUGCUCUUGCUAAGCGUUCCUCCCGUGAAAGAGAAGACCGAGGAGAAGACAUGUGCUGCUUUGACGAUCUUUGAGAAGGAACUGGUGUUUCCUGAUUGUUUCCGACAGGUCUCCUGUUAUGAAUACUGACAAUAUUUACAACUCCUUGUCAAAUUAUAUUUUUCAUUUUUAACAAUUAUUCUUUAUUUUAAAUUGUUUUACACUACCUUGCUUGCACUUUUCAGGA